CUCCCCUCCUCCUCCUCCUCCCCCUUCUCCUCUCCUCCUCCUCUCUUCCUCUUCUUCCUCCUCCUCUUCUCCCCCUUUCCCCCCCCCUCAUUUCCCUUCUCCCUCUUCUGUUCUUUGCUCCUCCCUCCAGAAUCUGUUCCCUUGAGAGGAAGUGUGAGGAGGAGGAUUCUGGUACACCAGAUCUUUGUUCCAAGUACAUAUUAUCAUAAAAUGUUGGAGAUUGUUGGGGCCGGCCCCUCAUUGCACAGAUGGGGAAACAGAGUCGGGGGGGCGUGACAUGGGCCAGCACCCAGGUGAGACCCUUGGCCAGGGGCUGCAAGCCGGGCCCUGCAGACUGGCCCAGCAUUGCACCCAGCCGGCUCAGGAGGGCCUGGACAAGACCCUUUGGCGGAUUCGGAACCAGAGUCGGCUCCUGGAUGGCUGCCCCGUCUCAGACUGCCUCCCCCACCCCCGCUCCCGUUCCCUCCCCCUUUGGUGCUGGCUGGAUCCUGGCCCCUUCUCUUCCCUUCCUCUCUCUGACAGAGCCGGGAUGCAUCCAGACUCUCCUGCUCGCUCCCCCUACCUGAUGGCCAAUGACCAGGCCAGGAUCUCUCGGACACCUGGACGGUAGGAGAUGGCGGCCCUCCGGGCCCUCCCACGGGCCCACCUCCCUUCCUGCGUGGGCGCUGGAGGCAGGGACUCUGACUUUUCUCCCUGCAUCUCUAGGGCCUGCGCCCAGGAGGAAGUUAAUAAAUGCUUUCCAUAUGAUUUUGCUGCCAUUCCUUGAAGAGUAACUAAGGCCACUGGCCAAGCCAAAGGGCAAAGGGGCCAAGAUGGCCCUUCUGAGGAGGAAAUUCUAGGACCCUGCAGCUUGCAGAGGCAAGUAAAACAAAUCCCUCCCCGGCUGUGCCCAAACUGUGUCUCGUGCUGCCUGUUCCGCUCCUCUGCCUUCUCUGGGCCGGGGCCGGGCGGCUGCUUCAUCGGGGCCUCGGAUCUGGCCCUGGGUCUUUGGGAAGAUGAGCAGAGAGCUCGCGGCUUCCGAAGGUGUUUGUCUCCAUAGUGUUGGAACGAGUCUCCCGGGUCUGCUCCCACAGGUCCUCCCAGAUUCCUCUGAAGUCCCUUCCCAGAACCAGAGCGAGCCCGGGGCCCGUUCCCAGACCACGCCUCGUUCAGCCCCUCCCCAGCGGGUGGGCAGCCCCCUCGGGAGCCGCUAGGGGCAUUUUUGUGCUUCUCUCCCGGGCCCUGCUGGGUCAGUGCCCCGUGCGUGCCUUGGGCUCCAACUGGCCUCGCAGUCGCCAGGGCUCGUGUGUUCCGGAUUCUCAGCCACGUGGCCCUUUACAGAGAUAUUCCUGCCAAACACGGGGUUUGGUUCAGGAAGAGCCCCCCAGUGUUUCUCGAGUGCACGUCCUCGUCUCCCCCCUCAGUUCGGAGCCUUUGCUCCUCCUCCAUCCGCACCCGACCCCUGCCCAAGAUCCCGGGACAGCCCCACGCUGUGGGCAUCGUACGGGCAGCGGGCACGGACGGGAGGAUGCGGCGUGCUCACGGGUCAGCGCGAUCCUCAGCCGAGGGGGAUGGGCCCAAGAUGGAGAUGAAGGCCCUGGGAUGGAGUGGGGAAGGGGCGACAGUCAUGGAGGGAAGGUUUCCACUAGUGCACAGAGGGGUGCAGGCUUUCUCAUACGUCCGAUAGAAAACCCGGUGCCCUCUCGGUGGGGACCCCCGUCUGGUGUCUUCACUGGCACAUCCCCGAGGGUCCAGCGCCUCCGUGUGGAAGGACGAAGGUGAUUGCCGUAAAGGGCAGGACAGCCAUUUGGCUGGUGAGACUGGCUGAGACUUGUCAUUCAGGGCUCACACGCCGUAGCCCGGAUCUCAGUCUCCAGAGCUCAGGCUCCGGAGACACGGGGUUUGGUGUGUUUCAUGCUCUCCCCCGUCUCUCUCCCUUUGCCCCCCUUUCCAUGUCCAUGCUCCCCGGGAGCUUUCCUUGCAGACCGUCCAGCUGCUGGGGCCCGUUCAGAAUGACCCUGCUUCUCCCUGCACGUGUCCCGGAGCAAACAGAUGCAAAUGUGCCCCAGAUUCUGCAGUUCCCUCCUCCGCGAACCCUGGGUGCUGGCCUUCUGUUCCCACCCCCCAGGAGGAGAGGAGAGCUAAACAUGGCUUACGGCCAGAACGGGGGCCGGCGCGCCUGGUCUCCCUCCUGCCAGCUUUCCCCUUUCGUGUCACCAAGCUGAGUCCAGAGCCGCCCACAGCAAGCCGGGCGUCACCUAGCCCCAAGGGGGAAGAAGAGUCCAAAAGCCCGUGUGAGCUGUUUAGGAAGGGUCUUCUCAGGGACCCCCUCCUAGCCUCCUCCGCUGUGGGGACACAGGGGUCUCUCUGCAGCCCCAGUACAGGGCGGCCCCCAGCUCUGACAACAAAGGAUCUGGACUCAGGUCACCUUCCAUGGCUUACUACUUUAAUGAUCUUGGAUUGAACGAACUUAAUAACUUCUCUGUGCCUCAGUUUCCUUCUCUGUCAAAUAGGAACAGUCAAUUUAAAGGGAAAGUAACGCCUCUAUGUAGAUUGAAACAGCAUUUGGAUUUGUCUCAAGCGAGAGAGCCUGGGAAAGUGGCUGUGGACUCUCUGGCCUGGGCUUUUCAAUGUGAUACGGGUAACCUCCACAGAGCCUUUCGGGAGGAAGAACACGCCGUGUUCUGUCAUGAGACGUUGGCCCAGGACUGGAUCUGUCUGAAGUGACGAGGCUGCCCUAGAAACCUGCUGUUUUCAGUUGUGGACAUCAAAUAAGUGGCUCUCAGGGUAAAAGAAGCCUCUUUGGAUGAACCUGCCCCAUUUCUAAACUUUAAAAUGGACCUUGAAAAGCAAGUAAAAGAUAAAAAGCAGACAGCAAACGCCUAAGUACAAAUGGUUCCCCUUGUUACCGAACUGGAGCUGGGACCCGAGCGCCGAGUGUGGUGCAGUAUUCCACCUGUUUCCCCACAGAUUGUUUUUGCUACUUCUGACUCCGAGAAGAUAAAGCAAGAAGGAAAAUAGACACAUUUGCCCCUUUCCCCCAUCAUCCAGGCUUGUACUUUUCCUUCUGCCAUCUAGUCCCCGGGAAUAAAAAGGACCAGUCCACAAAGCACAAAGCAAAGAGUGUCUCCUUCCAAAGAAAUGCAUCCAGCAGCACGGUGACCCAGGGAGAGCUGGGAUUCGUGCCUGCACGGGGCACUUUGAAGGGAACAAACACAAGGGGGAAGGGGGAAGGGAGAAAGUAUUUAUUUAAUGCCUACUGUGAGCCAGGCACUGUACUAAGCGCUUUAUGUAUAUUAUUCCGUUUGAGAGUCUCCAGUGGUCCACGCUCCUACACUGCCUCCAAGGAAGAACCCUCGUGGUUUGAGACCCAAUGAAAUCUGGCAAAUGGAUGGGACCCAUUAUAAAUCUUUCGGUCGUCUGUCUUUUAUCCAUGCUGUGGUAGACACCUUUUCAGGAUUCACUUUUGCCAUACCAGCAGCAAAUGAGACAGCCCGAGGGGUCACUGAAUUCCUCACGCAAGCAUUACCAAUUAUGGGUGUGCCACAAGCAAUAAAAACAGAUAAUGGACCUGCAUAUACCUCCAAACAUUUUGCACACUUUUGUGCACAGUAUCAGAUUUUACACACCACUGGCAUACCCUUUAAUCCUCAAGGACAGGCAAUAGUAGAGAGGAGAAACAGAGACAUUAAGACGCUGUUCCAAAAACAAAAGAAAGGGGGAGCCACAGGUAACCCUAGAGAACUACUAAAUCUAGCACUUUAUACUAUUAACUUCUUGAUUUUUGGCAAAGAUGCACUGGCUCCGGCAGACAGGUUUUAUAACCCACUGGAAGGGCAAUGUCCAGUGCGAGCAGCUCCACUAUCUUUAGAUAAUCGCCAGGUGAUGUGGAGAGACCCAGAAAGUGGUGAAUGGAAGGGACCAGAUAGGUUAACUGGGGGAGAGGGUUUGCUUGUAUCUCUACAGGUGGAGAAGGAAUCAGAUGGGUGCCAACGAGCCGUAUUCGCCUUGUCCAUCGCAGAGAGAUGGAGCAGACCCUUGAAAUGAAGGAGAAGACCCAAGAAACAUCGGGUGGUUCUGUUGCUGAUUGUGCUCACCAUUGAAAGAGUGUGGCAGUUAUGGCGUUUGACUCAUGGACAUAGAAAAUCAUUGGACUUCAAAACCCUCAGAAAUCAUUGGAUUCUCUGAGACAUGAUAAGAUUGUUGUAGGACUUUAAAUCCCUCAGGAAUCAUCGGAUUCUUUGAGACAUAAGACUUGAAAGCCCUCAGGAAUCAUUGGAUUUUCUGAGAAAUGAUAAGACUAUCACAGGACUUCAAAUUCUGCUGGAAUCAUUGGAUUCCCUAAGACAAAAAGACUUUUGCUGGACUUCAAAAACUUGGGGGGAUCAUUGGAUUCCCUGAUAUGUGAAGCAAUGGACAAUAGACUGGUUUUGGACUAUCUCUUGGCUGCUGAGGAGGUGUAUGUGUGACUGCUGUUUACAUACUCUCCUUCUAGGACUUCUGGCAAUCUUUUACAAUACAAUGUUGAUUUAUAGUUU